ACCAUGCAAGUCGAACGGGAUCCAUCAGGCUUUGCUUGGUGGUGAGAGUGGCGAACGGGUGAGUAAUGCGUGACCGACCUGCCCCAUACACCGGAAUAGCUCCUGGAAACGGGUGGUAAUGCCGGAUGCUCCGACUCCUCGCAUGGGGUGUCGGGAAAGAUUUCAUCGGUAUGGGAUGGGGUCGCGUCCUAUCAGGUAGUCGGCGGGGUAACGGCCCACCGAGCCUACGACGGGUAGCCGGCCUGAGAGGGCGACCGGCCACAUUGGGACUGAGAUACGGCCCAAACUCCUACGGGAGGCAGCAGUGGGGAAUAUUGCACAAUGGGCGCAAGCCUGAUGCAGCGACGCCGCGUGCGGGAUGACGGCCUUCGGGUUGUAAACCGCUUUUGAUCGGGAGCAAGCCUUCGGGUGAGUGUACCUUUCGAAUAAGCACCGGCUAACUACGUGCCAGCAGCCGCGGUAAUACGUAGGGUGCAAGCGUUAUCCGGAAUUAUUGGGCGUAAAGGGCUCGUAGGCGGUUCGUCGCGUCCGGUGUGAAAGUCCAUCGCUUAACGGUGGAUCUGCGCCGGGUACGGGCGGGCUGGAGUGCGGUAGGGGAGACUGGAAUUCCCGGUGUAACGGUGGAAUGUGUAGAUAUCGGGAAGAACACCAAUGGCGAAGGCAGGUCUCUGGGCCGUUACUGACGCUGAGGAGCGAAAGCGUGGGGAGCGAACAGGAUUAGAUACCCUGGUAGUCCACGCCGUAAACGGUGGAUGCUGGAUGUGGGGCCCGUUCCACGGGUUCCGUGUCGGAGCUAACGCGUUAAGCAUCCCGCCUGGGGAGUACGGCCGCAAGGCUAAAACUCAAAGAAAUUGACGGGGGCCCGCACAAGCGGCGGAGCAUGCGGAUUAAUUCGAUGCAACGCGAAGAACCUUACCUGGGCUUGACAUGUUCCCGACAGCCGUAGAGAUAUGGCCUCCCUUCGGGGCGGGUUCACAGGUGGUGCAUGGUCGUCGUCAGCUCGUGUCGUGAGAUGUUGGGUUAAGUCCCGCAACGAGCGCAACCCUCGCCCUGUGUUGCCAGCACGUCAUGGUGGGAACUCACGGGGGACCGCCGGGGUCAACUCGGAGGAAGGUGGGGAUGACGUCAGAUCAUCAUGCCCCUUACGUCCAGGGCUUCACGCAUGCUACAAUGGCCGGUACAACGGGAUGCGACACGGCGACGUGGAGCGGAUCCCUGAAAACCGGUCUCAGUUCGGAUUGGAGUCUGCAACCCGACUCCAUGAAGGCGGAGUCGCUAGUAAUCGCGGAUCAGCAACGCCGCGGUGAAUGCGUUCCCGGGCCUUGUACACACCGCCCGUCAAGUCAUGAAAGUGGGUAGCACCCGAAGCCGGUGGCCUAACCCUUUGUGGAUGGAGCCGUCUAA
rnacentral:rRNA from 1 species